rnacentral:rRNA from 1 species
CACGGGUGCUUGCACCUGGUGGCGAGUGGCGAACGGGUGAGUAAUGCACCGGAACGUACCCAGUAAUGGGGGAUAACGCACCGAAAGGUGUGCUAAUACCGCAUACGCCCUGAGGGGGAAAGCGGGGGAUCGUAAGACCUCGCGUUAUUGGAGCGGCCGAUGCCGGAUUAGCUAGUUGGUGGGGUAAAGGCCUACCAAGGCGACGAUCCGUAGCUGGUCUGAGAGGACGACCAGCCACACUGGGACUGAGACACGGCCCAGACUCCUACGGGAGGCAGCAGUGGGGAAUUUUGGACAAUGGGCGAAAGCCUGAUCCAGCCAUGCCGCGUGAGUGAAGAAGGCCUUCGGGUUGUAAAGCUCUUUCGCAAGGAAAGAAAGCUUACCUACUAAUACUAGGUGAGGAUGACGGUACCUUGAUAAGAAGCACCGGCUAACUACGUGCCAGCAGCCGCGGUAAUACGUAGGGUGCGAGCGUUAAUCGGAAUUACUGGGCGUAAAGCGUGCGCAGGCGGUUCGAUAAGUCUGAUGUGAAAUCCCCGGGCUCAACCUGGGAACUGCGUUGGAAACUGUCGAGCUAGAGUGUAGAAGAGGGGGGUAGAA